CAUGUCCUUUUGAUAAUAAUUUAAGGUCUGGUCUGCUCAGUGAUUAGUUAAAUUGCCGCAGUAUUUUAACUGUGCAAAGGUAGCAUAAUAAUUAGUUUCUUGAUUAGAAACUGGAAUGAACGAUUGGACGAGAAAAUUUCUGUCUCGUUUUUAAAUUUUUUGAAUUUUAUUUUUAAGUUAAAAAGCUUAAAUUAUUAUAAAAGACGAGAAGACCCUAUAGAGUUUAAUAUUUUAAAAUAAUAUAAUAUUAGUAUACUUUUUUAUUGGAAUUUAUUUAGUUGGGGUGACUUAAGGAUAGAACAAAUUCUUUAACUUUUAAAUUGGUGAUUUCUAAAUUUUAAAUCUGUAGUUUAUAAUACUAAAACAAAUUACCUUAGGGAUAACAGCGUAAUUUUACUUUAAAGUUCUCAUUAUAAGUAAAGUUUGCGACCUCGAUGUUGGAUUAAAAUUAAUUUUUGGUGCAAUAACUUAAAAAUUAGGUCUGUUCGACCUUUAAAAUUUUACAUGAUCUGAGUUUAAACCGGUGUAAACCAGGUUGGAUUCUAUCUUUAGAAAAUUAUUAUAUUUUAGUACGAAAGGACCAAUUAUAAAUUAAAUUAAUUG
rnacentral:rRNA from 1 species